rnacentral:lncRNA from 1 species
UUUCACAGCUACCAGGGUUUUAAAGCUACUUAUUUUCAAUGCUACCACAGGACUGGGACUUGGGGAAUGGAAAUAUGAUCCCGUAGGCCCAUACUUGCACCAACUUAUGUCUGGUGCAACAAUGACACCAACGAUGUCUCCUGCUUACAACAACAAAAAUUUCUUUCUCAUCAUGCUGCAUGUCCAUCAAAGGUCGUCUUCUCUCGAGGCAGUCUCUAACUGGAAUGUUGGCACCGGUUGCAUUUCAUUGGGUAAAGCUAUACAUUUGUCAGGUCUCCAGGACUUUGAUUAACAGUGGGAGUAACAGAGCAAUCACUGUCUUAGUAACAACUUCAAAGGGAAGAUGCAUCAAGUUGAGGAAGACAUUGAUACAGGCUUUCUUCAGAGUCCUUAUCAAAGCUAUAAGGAUAUAAGCUUGGCCAUCUCUCCCACCACAGAAAGUCUGUCUUGAGAAUGGAACCUACAUACAGAAGGAAGAAAAGCCGAAAGAUGGAGAUGGAUGAGGCAGACAACAACAAAGAAAACUCCAAUAUGUCAUUUGUGUCACUGAAUUUUGAUAUGAAGAAUCAAGCUGGUUCCAGAUAUGGGAGGUAGUAGGACACAUGCGGAGCCAAUCAGAGCCCUUACAUGGGACUUUGGGGAUUCAGAGAGAGCAGCAUCUGCUGGUGGUAGAAGCUUGAAAACAUGAAAUUCACAAGCUGUCAGUGGCCAUGUCAAUUUCCAUUCAGGAGAGACCCGCCUAUAGCUGGAGAAAAUGGAGUUAACUCAGGGAGGAAUCGCUUAGGUGUGUUAAAGUGUAUGAAACACAGCCUCUGACAUCAGGAGG